AAUCCAUAGGUUAAUGAGGCGAACCGGGGGAACUGAAACAUCUAAGUACCCCGAGGAAAAGAAAUCAACCGAGAUUCCCCCAGUAGCGGCGAGCGAACGGGGAGGAGCCCAGAGCCUGAAUCAGCAUGUGUGUUAGUGGAAGCGUCUGGAAAGGCGCGCGAUACAGGGUGACAGCCCCGUACACAAAAGCGCAUGUGCUGUGAGCUCGAUGAGUAGGGCGGGACACGUGGUAUCCUGUCUGAAUAUGGGGGGACCAUCCUCCAAGGCUAAAUACUCCUGACUGACCGAUAGUGAACCAGUACCGUGAGGGAAAGGCGAAAAGAACCCCGGCGAGGGGAGUGAAAAAGAACCUGAAACCGUGUACGUACAAGCAGUGGGAGCACCCUUUUGGGUGUGACUGCGUACCUUUUGUAUAAUGGGUCAGCGACUUAUAUUCUGUAGCAAGGUUAACCGAAUAGGGGAGCCGGAGGGAAACCGAGUCUUAAUUGGGCGUUAAGUUGCAGGGUAUAGACCCGAAACCCGGUGAUCUAGCCAUGGGCAGGUUGAAGGUUGGGUAACACUAACUGGAGGACCGAACCGACUAAUGUUGAAAAAUUAGCGGAUGACCUGUGGCUGGGGGUGAAAGGCCAAUCAAACCGGGAGAUAGCUGGUUCUCCCCGAAAGCUAUUUAGGUAGCGCCUCGUGAAUUCAUCUCCGGGGGUAGAGCACUGUUUCGGCUAGGGGGCCAUCCCGGCUUACCAACCCGAUGCAAACUGCGAAUACCGGAGAAUGUUAUCACGGGAGACACACGGCGGGUGCUAACGUCCGUCGUGAAGAGGGAAACAACCCAGACCGCCAGCUAAGGUCCCAAAGUCAUGGUUAAGUGGGAAACGAUGUGGGAAGGCCCAGACAGCCAGGAUGUUGGCUUAGAAGCAGCCAUCAUUUAAAGAAAGCGUAAUAGCUCACUGGUCGAGUCGGCCUGCGCGGAAGAUGUAACGGGGCUAAACCAUGCACCGAAGCUGCGGCAGCGACACUCAGGUGUUGUUGGGUAGGGGAGCGUUCUGUAAGCCUGUGAAGGUGUGUCGUGAGGC
rnacentral:rRNA from 1 species